CCUACGGGCGGCAGCAGUGGGGAAUCUUGGUCAAUGACCGGAAGGCUGAACCAGCCAUGCCGCGUGAAGGUCAGUGCCCUAUGGGCGGUAAACUUCUUUUGUGCGGGAGCAAUAAUGGUCACGUGUGUCCAUACGAGAGUACCGUCCAAAUAAGCAUCGGCUCACUCCGUGCCAGCAGCCGCGGUAAUACGGGUGAUGCAAGCGUUAUCCGGAUUUAUAGGGUGUAAAGGGUGAGGCGGGUGUGAGGUAAUGAAGCAUGGAAAUGCCCCGGCUCAACGGGGUGAAGUGCCAUCGAUACUGGCAGGCUGGAAUGCGGUAGAGGUGGGUGGAAUGUGUGGUGUAGCGGUGAAAUGCGUAGAGAUCAGAAGGAACACCGAUUGCGAAGGCAGCCCACGGGUCAGAGACUGACGCUGAGGCACGAAAGCGUGGGGAGCAAACAGGAUUAGAUACCCUUGUAGUC
rnacentral:rRNA from 1 species